GAUGAACGCUGGCGGCGUGCCUAAUACAUGCAAGUCGAGCGAACAGACGAGGAGCUUGCUCCUCUGACGUUAGCGGCGGACGGGUGAGUAACACGUGGAUAACCUACCUAUAAGACUGGGAUAACUUCGGGAAACCGGAGCUAAUACCGGAUAAUAUAUUGAACCGCAUGGUUCAAUAGUGAAAGACGGUUUUGCUGUCACUUAUAGAUGGAUCCGCGCCGCAUUAGCUAGUUGGUAAGGUAACGGCUUACCAAGGCAACGAUGCGUAGCCGACCUGAGAGGGUGAUCGGCCACACUGGAACUGAGACACGGUCCAGACUCCUACGGGAGGCAGCAGUAGGGAAUCUUCCGCAAUGGGCGAAAGCCUGACGGAGCAACGCCGCGUGAGUGAUGGAGGCCUUCGGAUCGUAAAACUCUGUUAUUAGGGAAGAACAAAUGUGUAAGUAACUAUGCACGUCUUGACGGUACCUAAUCAGAAAGCCACGGCUAACUACGUG
rnacentral:rRNA from 1 species